CACUAAUACAAGGCUAGCUUACCGAAGACACACGACAGACUGACCCAGAGACAGAAGACUAACCCUCUCCCUCCUUCCUCACCUGACCCUAUCCCCGUGUUUCCAACCCACCCCACACACGCCUAUAAGAGAGGAGCAGGUCCAUGAACAGGAAAUAUAGCGGACUAGUGAUCUCCGGGUAUUAAAAAACAGGUAUACCCACACACCGAAGUACAGGGCCACUACAAUGGGAGGGGAGUAUACGCCACUACAAUGGGGAAAAUUGGGGUGUACCCCAAAUCCACAUAUAACAGAAAUUAAGCUAUCUACCCACAUAAUAAGGUUGCCUAAGGGUAGCAAGGGACAAGCAACCACGAAAGGAUCACCUGUACGCACACCAAGGCGUAAACCCAGAAAGCAACAUACGAUACACAGACACUGACAGCAUACAUGGCAUGGGACCUGCGAGUCUACUCAUGACACAAGGGCCUGUGAGCCCAAACGCAUGAUAUUGUCAGGUUAUCUAAUUCAAGGACCUGCGAGUCCGACGUCAUGGAGGGCCUGUGAGCCCAAUCGAAUAUUGUGGAUACACUACAAGUAUAUGGGACCUGCGAGUCCAGUCCUAUGGCGGGCCUGCGAGCCCAACCCCAAAAAUGUAUCUGUUCAACUGGUUUCGAUUCCUAAAUCGGUUAUUCAAAUGAACGAAUAAAAAUCAUAUUUACAAAAAAAAAUUAAAGUGC